rnacentral:tRNA from 1 species
GCAGGUAUAGCUCAAUGGCAGAGCAUCUCGUUGCCAACGAGAAGGUUGUGAGUUCGAGUCUCAUUGCCUGCUCCA